rnacentral:rRNA from 1 species
GAUGAACGCUAGCGGCAGGCCUAACACAUGCAAGUCGAGGGAGAGGUUACCUUCGGGUAACCAAGACCGGCGCACGGGUGCGUAACGCGUAUACAAUCUGCCUUUCACAUAGGGAUAGCCCGAAGAAAUUUGGAUUAAUACCUAAUGGUAUAUAGGAGCGGCAUCGUUUUUAUAUUAAAGCUACGGUGGUGAAAGACGAGUAUGCGUUCUAUUAGCUAGUUGGAGAGGUAACGGCUCCCCAAGGCGACGAUAGAUAGGGGUUCUGAGAGGGAUGUCCCCCACACUGGUACUGAGAUACGGACCAGACUCCUACGGGAGGCAGCAGUGAGGAAUAUUGGACAAUGGUCGGAAGACUGAUCCAGCCAUGCCGCGUGCAGGAUGAAGGUCCUAUGGAUUGUAAACUGCUUUUGUAAGGGAAGAAUAAGGAGUACGUGUACUUUGAUGACGGUACCUUACGAAUAAGCAUCGGCUAACUCCGUGCCAGCAGCCGCGGUAAUACGGAGGAUGCGAGCGUUAUCCGGAAUCAUUGGGUUUAAAGGGUCCGUAGGCGGGCUGAUAAGUCAGAGGUGAAAGCGCUUAGCUCAACUAAGCAACUGCCUUUGAAACUGUCAGUCUUGAAUGAUUGUGAAGUAGUUGGAAUGUGUAGUGUAGCGGUGAAAUGCUUAGAUAUUACACAGAACACCGAUAGCGAAGGCAUAUUACUAACAAUUUAUUGACGCUGAUGGACGAAAGCGUGGGGAGCGAACAGG